rnacentral:lncRNA from 1 species
GAAUCCACACAGCCACCGUUCUUCAAGAUCAAGCCCAAAAGCCCUUGAAGAUUCGUUCAUCACCGUUAUUCAAGAUCAAGCCUCAACGGCCCUUGAAGAAACACUCAUCCUCAAGAUCAAGCCCCCAACGGCUCCUUGAAGAUCCGCUCAAAUCCACCUUCAAAGAUCAAGCCCACGGCCCAUUUCAACAGUUCAUCCAAAAUCAAGCCUCCACGGCCCUUGGAUCAAUCAAAUAUCCAUAAAUCAAAACCUUACGGAGAUCGAAUCAGAGGAUCAAAAUAGAGAGAGAUUGUAACCCAAAAUCAUCAAAUACAAAUAUUUGUUUGUGCACGUUGUUCUUGUCGUUUUCGUUUCAGGAAUUUUCCGUGUUCACAAAUUGGCACGCCCAGUGGGACAAUCUCUACCUCUCAUCUUUUUCUCCAUUCAAGAAAUUCGAGCACACUUCCAAAAUUAAUGGCAUCAAGGAAGGCUCAAACUGUUCCCGCAACUGGCGCAAAGAACAAGAGCGUCCUCGUCGCAAGUGGUGUCACUUUAGGCAUCACGACUCGAAGCAAGGCAAGAACUACUUCUGCCGCCUCUUUCACCUCUGCAUCAACUCUGCCAAGGGAACAAGAGCACCCAAGGCACGAGCCUUUGAUCACCUUAGCCUCACCAAAGGCACCAAGGGGCGAAAGUCCAAGGAAAUACUCCGAAUCCAUGCUCUCCGAUGCCGAUUCGAGCGGCAGUUCAGCCAUGCAAGUCAUGACCAUUGGAGCAACUUUAAUCGAUGAGUAGCUGGCUCAAAUGAAUGAAGCAAUCGUAAGGCUAACCCGAACUGUGGAAGAAAAAGACUUGCAAAUCGCUGCAUUCGUCAGCCGACUGGAGCCACAGGACGGCGAUAACCCUAACUCAGAAGAGGAGCCUCCGGUGGAGAAUAUCGAUAUGAAGCCGGAGCCAGACCAAGCAGCAGCACUCAUGGGAUCUCUUUCUAUCCAGCAACUGCAGGAGAUGAUCGCCAGCACCGUCAAGGCAUAGUACGAAGGGAGCUCAAAUACCUCCGGGUUGUACUCAAAGCCCUAUUCAAAGAAGAUUGAUGCCCUAAAGAUGCCGAGGGGAUAUCAACCACCAAAGUUCAUGCAGUUUGAUGGAAAAGGAAACCUAAAGCAGCACGUUGCACAUUUCGUUGAAACUUGCAACAAUGCGGGGACGGAUGGAGACUACCUCGCCAAGCAGUUUGUGCGCUCGCUGAAAGGAAACGCCUUUGAGUGGUACACGGACUUAGAGCCUGAGUCCAUCAACAGCUGGGAACAGUUGGAAAGGGAAUUCCUCAACCGCUUCUACAUCACCCGCCGCACUGUGAGCAUGCUAGAGCUAACAAACACAAAGCAAUGGAAAGAUGAGCCAAUCAUUGACUACAUCAACAGAUGGCGAACUAUAAGCCUCGACUGUAAAGACAGGCUCUCGGAAACCUCUUCAAUCGAGAUGUGUAUCCAAGGCAUGCAAUGGGGUUUGCAAUACAUCCUUCAAGGUAUCAAACCACGGACCUUCGAAGAGCUAGCCACCCGCGCCCAUGACAUGGAGUUAAGCAUCUCCCAUCAUGGGAAGAAGGAACCGAUCGCCGACUACAAGAACGACAAAGUUCUUGAGACAAAGGUGGAGAAGGCUACGUGGAAAUCCACCAAGGAAGCAAUGACGGUCAACACAUCUCCCGUCAAAAUCUUCACACGAGGCAAGGUGAUUCAAACCGAAGCUUUUCGUGAUCAAGAGAUGCGUAGACGCACUUUGAAGGAGCUUGAGGAGAAGACUUAUCCAUUCCUCGACUCUGAUGUGGUUGCCAUGUUAGAAGACUUGCUGGAAAAGAAGGUGAUCGGCUUGCCUGAGUGCAGACGGCCAGAAGAGAUGAAUCGCACCGACAGUCCAAGGUACUGUAAAUUCCACCGCUUCAUCAGUCAUCCGACAGAAAAGUGCUUCGUGCUGAAAGAUCUCAUCAUGAAGUUGGCUCAGAAAGGAAUCAUCGAGCUAGAUCUUUACGAUGUGGUGAAGUCAAACUAUACCACCAUCACUUAUGGCUCUUUCGACACAAAGUUUUCACCUCAACAGCUGAGGGCAUCCUCCAAGACAAGCAAAGUUGAAGGAUGGACUCAAGUCACUCCUAAGAAAUUGCACAAGAAGCAUACGUCCUCCACAAGUCCGCCAAUCGGAAAGGGGGCAAAGCAGCUCUUGUCAACCUUCAAAGCAACGUGAACGUGUUGAAGAUGAUGAAAUUUCGACACAUAGAUCGUCCAUCCCCAUCACGAUGCGUGAUUUCUUGCCUGAAGACUUCUUCAAUCACGCGGUCAAAGCUCCUUGCUAUGAAAAUUAUGAGGAACGCCUCUCCCGGAUUGCUUGACAAAAUUCACAAAUUCUCCUCGCCCGCACGAGUCUAAACUGCAUGGCACAAAGCUCCUGGUCUGUACGAGCAUAAAAGGCAACAUCAACGCUCCUGGUCUGCACGAGCAUAAAAGGCAACACCAAAUGCUCCUUGUUCGCAUGAGCCUAAACUGCACGAACCAAACGCUCCUGGUUUGCACGAGCAUAAAAGGCAACACCAAAACGCUCCUUGCCUGCACGAGCUGAAACUGCAACACAGCACCAAAUGCUCCUGGUCUGCACGAGCAUAAAAGGCAACAUCAACACUCCUGGUGUGCACGAGUUUAAAAGGCGACACAACAUGCUCCUGGCCCGCAAGAGCAUAAAUUGCGUACGGCACCAAAAAAAAAAAUGUAUUUGAACUACGUUACGACUUGAUCUCUUCUUUGGAGGGGUACGUAGACAGCUUGAAUAUUCAAAAUUUCGAGUUCAGUCACAUCAAAAUAUAAAUAAAUGUUUUAUUAAAGAAAGUCAAUUUUAUUAAAAAUAAAUGAUGAAUACAUAUGUUUAUGUAUUUACAAAAAAAAAAAAAAAAAAAAAAAAAAAAAAAAAGAAUCAAAAUAUCGGCAAGCCCAAAUAGUGGGCUGGAAUGGAUGAAGGCCCAUUUUAACCAUCGCCAUCAUUAGCUUCGGCCUCAACACCAAGCCUGAUCUCACCAUCAAGACUGGGGCUCACCAAAGCCCACUGCUCCAUUUUGCCCUUCUCCUCUAGUGAGAUCUUCAUGCUGCUGCAUGGGCAGUUUGUCUCUCUAAAAAUUGAGCAGCCUCCUCCAUUUUUUAGAGACAUCUCUAUCCACUCCAAGCUCAAGAAGCGAAUCUCGUCUAUCCUGAAGCGUGAAAACUGUCGGCGACUUCCUGGUGUCGUUGUCACCUACAAACGGCGAGAGGCUAUUCGAUCCUAAGAAUCUCGGCCUUCUUCCUCCACACCUACCUCCUAGGGCAACCAACUUCUAUCCCCCUUGCCGUGCUCCAUCUCCUUCGUCUUUAGCUCACCCACGGUAACAUCAAGACCACCCAAUAUUGGUGCAACGGUGCAAUGGAAACAGCAGCCAAAGCAAGCCAAUACCACAGGCCACGAGUCGACCCAGGACCAGCUGCUCUUGCUCCUUUUGUAGCAGCGCCGUCAGCAGCAGCACCCCACCUACGUUCUGGUUUGAGAAGCUACCCUCUCUACCCUGAACUGUACUUUUCCGCCUUUACACUCACACACCCCAAACCUAAUUGCAUGUUAGGUCUUCAAACUGGUAUCGAUUGUCUGCGCUGAAGAUUUCUCUUCCUCAAUUCUACCGGGAAAUCUUCGAUUCGAUUUUGCUUUUUGCUUGACGGAAUCGGAGGUAGGCGGAGCUGAGAUUUAAAAUAUGGCGGCCUCCACGAGCGGUGUCUACGUCAGUGUUAUUAAGGAUGUCAUCAACAAGGUCCGCGAGGAGUUCAUGAACAACGACCCUGGGGAAGACGUUCUGAAUGAGCUUCAAGGAACUUGGGAGGCGAAGACGGUGCAGGCUGGUGUAGUAAAUAAUCCUAUAGAGAGGUCGGCGGGGCAGUGGGGUUACUCCAAUUCACGAUCUCAAUGUACCGUAUGAAGGGACCGAGGAGUAUGAAACUCCCACUGCUGAGAUGCUCUUCCCUCCAACGCCGUUGCAAACCCCAAUUCCUGCAACCCCAAUUCCAACACCUCUACCUGGAACUGGUGACAACAUGUAUAACAUCCCUACCGGAGGUAGUGAAUAUUCUGCAAAUGAGUCUGGUAGCAGCAAUGGUGGUGUCAAUGCAGAGUUGAAAGCUGGAAGAUCUGGCCCCUACAUGCAACCUCCAUCUACUUGGAUGAACCACUCGUCACACGCAAACUCAGCUUUGCGGAAAUCACGGGCAAUUUGUUAAAGCGCCGAUCCCAGAUAUCGAAGAGGCGCCAGUCUUUUUCAGUCUCGUCAGCACCCGUCACGCGCAAACUCAGCUUUGCGGAAAUCACGGGCAAUUUGUCGAAGCGCCGAUCCCAGAUAUCGAAGAGGCGCCAGUCUUUUUCAGCCUCGUCAACACCUGUCACAUGCACACUCAGCUUGACGAAAAUUUCGGACAAUUUGUCGAAGAUUUCUGAUAAAGAAGAAAGCGUGAAGCCAUACUGAUUAAUCACGCGUUGGUUGCCGACACAAGUAAAAGAAUAGUACCUCUACAGGUACUAAAGAAUUUCCUAUAACUGUCCACCUUCACCCUCCAUAGCAAGGCAGACAUACAUAACAUUUCUUUAUCUCCGAGAACCUUUCUUCAUCUCCGAGAAUGCUUUCCCAACGAAACCUCUCGAGUCAUUCAGUGUUCCUUAUUCCUUGGGGUACCUCUGCAAGCCAAUGACUCCAAAGCAAAAGUAUAUCAUAUCACCAGGGUAGAAAGCAAGAGUAUCUCAUAUCAUGCGUUAUCCCUGUCCUUUCCUUUGUCCUUGUUCUUACCUACAAAGACAAGGAUAAAGAAAACAAUAUGCCGGAACCUCCACUCAAACUCGGGUAAGGAACCGACUGCUUGGAACCCUUCCCUGAUUGCCUACCUAGCACUGCUCUCGAGUACUCGUCUCCCACUGCUGCUGUACUUCCAAAGAAGCUGCUACAUCUGCCUGAAAAACAGAUAAGGCAAGUGAAAAUGAUACCUUGCAGCAUGUGGAGACAACGUGCAGAAGAAACAAGCAGAGAAGAAUGCAGCCUGCACAGUCAACUCAGUAGAAGGAGUCUGAGUUGAAGAACUCGAGAAGAUGCUACAUUCUGCCAGAAGAAUAGAUAAGACAAGGGAAAAUGAUACAUUGAAGCAUGUGGAGACAAGCACAACAAAGCACGUGCCGAUUCAUCCGCUACUUCUUCAAAAGCAAAAGUAUCUCAUAUCAUCAUGUUUGCAAUCACUCUGGGUGGAGGACUCGUUUUGACCCUCAAAUUCUUGGGUCGACUCGCCAGGCGUUGCGGGCUGCACUUGCCAAUUCACCACCCUUGAAUCCAAACCUUAAAGAUCAAGUCACCCAUUGGAAGAAAAGCCCAUCAAUCUUGAAGAUCAUACCGCUGACCAAACUGCUCAGGUGUGAAUUAGAAAGAUUGAACAAAGCAACAAGUCGUCACCUUCACCUCGUGCAUGCUUGCCAUGUGUUCGAGUCAACCUUCAAGAAUCAAGCCUCAACGGCCCUUGAAGAAGCUUCCAGCCAAAUUCAAGAUCAAGCCUCGAUGGCCCUUGAGGAAAUCACAAGUCUGAUUCAAGAUUAAAUGUCUACCACCCUUGAAUCAAAACCUAGUUCAAGAAUAAGCUGUGGAAAAUCAACAAUUGGAGGAAUCCAGAAAAUCCUCCAACCCAGUUCAAGAUCAAAGUUGUGGAAAGUCAACAAAGCGCAAAAAAACAAAUACGUGCCGAUUCAUCCACUACCAAAGCCAAAGAUCAUCUACCACAUGAAGCUCCUUGUGGUCCAAUUUCAACCUUCAAGAUCAAGCUUCGACGGCCCUUGAAGAAAUUUCAAACAAAAGUUCAAGAACAAGCCUCAAACGGCCCUUGAAGAAAUCUCAAACAAAGUCCAAGAACAAGCCUCAACGGCCCUUGAAGAAAUCUCCAGCCCAAUUCAAGAUCAAGCCUCGACGGCCCUUGGAUCGACAUCUACAUUAAGAUACUUCAAAACGCAUCUCCUACAUGUGACAAGCACAUGUAUAUGACGCGCCUUGAAGUGGGGGCAUUUGUAGACAUCAAAAUUUCGGUAAAUAAAUGUUGACCGAUAAAUCAAAGUUUCAACGCUCAUGUAUUACAUAAAUUUUACACGUAGCGUGCGACUCAACGAAAAUUGAAAUGAGUUGGAAAAGUCAUCAAAUAGGACACGUGUCAACACCUGGCAGAAACAACUUAUUUCAUCUGGGAUAUUAUAUUCAAAAUUAGGCCUUGAAAAAUUCUAUAAAUACAAGCCCAUUUCAUUCAUUUGGGGGAACCAAAAUCAUUAGGCAAAAUUCUUGAAGCUCUGAAACUCUGAAACUCCGAAGCUCUUAAGCAUCCAGGUUCCCGAAGAAUCAAGAAAGCUCUUUUCGUUCUUCGUUCUUCGUUCUUCGUUCAUCGUUCAUCUUAAGAUCAAGCCUCAACGGCCAUUUGGAUCAACAAUCAUCCACCAAUUCAAGAUCAAGCCCCGACGGCCCUUGAAGAAAGUGUUCUUUUCGUUCUUCGUUCUUCGUUCAUCGUUCAUCCUAAGAUCAAGCCUCAACGGCCCUUUGGAUCAACAAUCAUCCACCAAUUCAAGAUCAAGCCCCGAUGGCCCUUGAAGAAAGUGUUCUUCGUUCUUCGUUCAUCGUUCUUCCAAGAUCAAGCCCCGACGGCCCUUGGAUCAUACAUCCACCAAUUCAAGAUCAAGCCCCAAAGGCCCUUGAAGAACUUCCACCAAUUCAAGAUCAAGCCCCGACGACCCUUGAAGAAAGCACAAUCGUUCAUCAUCCGUUCGUCCAAGAUCAAGCCCCAACGGCCCUUUGGAUCAACAACAUCAACGAAUCCACACAGCCACCGUUCUUCAAGAUCAAGCCCAAAAGCCUUUGAAGAUUCUUUCAUCACCGUUAUUCAAGAUCAAGCCUCAACGGCCCUUGAAGAAACACUCAUCCUCAAGAUCAAGCCCCCAACGGCUCCUUGAAGAUCCGCUCAAAUCCACCUUCAAAGAUCAAGCCCACGGCCCCUUUGAAGGAACUUUCAACAGUUCAUCCAAAAUCAAGCCUCCACGGCCCUUGGAUCAACCAAAUAUCCAUAAAUCAAAAC